AAGUCGUAACAAGGUUUCCGUAGGUGAACCUGCGGAAGGAUCAUUACAAAUCCGUCACAUUAUGACACGUUGCAAUGUUGGAGAGUCAGGGGGGGGAGGAGAGAGAGAGAGUGAGAGAAUAUUUCUCUUUUUUUUUCUUCUUCUUCUUCUUCUUCUGAAACUCUUCACCCUUUUACUAUUAUGUUUGUUGAUCAGUUUUAUUUUUUAAUCACAUACUGUAACACAACUUAUAACAAUGGAUCUCUAGGCUCUU
rnacentral:misc_RNA from 1 species